UAUGUGCAAGUGAAAAUUCUGAAAUAAAAUCAUACCUACUACCAAUCACCAUAAUCUACAAUCCUACAUCUUGAUAUCAGCCCACCAUGCUCUAUGAGCUUCUACGAGUAUGAUAACACGUCUGUAUGGGAUUUCAAAUUUUUUUCGCAGAAAAAAUGAAACAUUUAGACUGGUAGAGUCAUUAGAUAAACCUAUCUAUUUGUGAACUGAGGAAAUGGAAUUAUUCAUUAGAUUCAUUUUAGCAUUGUUAUCUGUGAUUUUCAUGCUUUCAAUAGAAUAUGGUGGCGGGAACGCUGAGGAUUCAUCAUUUUCAUCUGCGGAGUAUCAUAAUACGUUGAAUCGGAGUCUGUUCAAAAAUUAUUUCAAAUAUAUGAAACGUAUUGAUGAAAUUACAGGAUAUAUUUGUUCCUGCGCGCUCAUCAGACAAACGAUCAAUAUACAUUACCAAAAAUCUUUCAAUUUCGAUCUCCAUGGAACUACUGACUGUGAACGUGCAUUUGAGUACUAUGUUGAAAAUGAUAAAAAUCCAACAUGUUUUAAUCUUCGAGGACGGGGUGGUAAUAUGCCUGGACUAUUGCAAUCAACGGAAUAUCUACGGUUCGUUUCAGCUCUUUGCGGUUCCUAUGACGUAUGCUCUAAACAUAUACAUUCCGAUUCCAAAACCGUGCAAGUUCUUAAACAGUUGAGAGAUGGAACACCAUUGACAAUCACUGAAAUACUUCGAAGGGAAAGGUAUUUAAUCACCGUUGAUGAAAUGAGAUAUGUUAACAUAUUUCUAAAUGCUUCUGGAAUUGCACCAUUCCCAUUUCUCAAGUUUGUUAAAUUUGACAAAGAAUUUGCGAUUCCACAAGUACGAAAUUUUUCCGAUCGGUUACAAUGUCCGAAGUACUUCAAGCGUCCUAAUUUUACAGUAUACAUGUACGGAUUCUGAGUAGCCAUAUGGAAGUUAAAAAUUGAGGUACACGAUCAUGUUUUGAAAUUUUUAUCUGGAAUCGGAUGAUCGGGAGGGGAGCCGGGAGGGCGGGUGCAAUUAAUCCAUAUAUGCCAUAUGCCGGACUAUAUUAUAUUAUGUAUAAUAAUUAAAAAUUCGUAUUCUCAUUUUUGGAUUUUUGGAGGUCUGAGGUCUCAAAUAUGAUUUUUAACAUUUUAAAACAAGCAACGAAUUGAAGGCCAAAUUUUUUGAAAAAUCCUAGGUACUUAUUACGAGAGGCAUACGAACGACGUUUCUUAUGCAAGUUUAUUUUUUGGUUUUUCAAAUUUUUGAAUUCAAAUGAUGUUGUAGGUAUUUUUUUUAGGAAGAUGAAUUUUGAAUGAAAAAGAAAAGAGAACAGGCUCGAUCGAAGUGAGAGCAAAAACUAACAAAAAUUUGCAUUUCGAGUACUUUUUUUAAAAUUUUAAUUUCGGCAAAGAAAAAAAACACUCACGGAUUUAGCGUGAGAAGACCGCUUUUGUUCAAAUAAAAAUCCUUUACGAAUAAAUUAA